UACGUAGGGAGCAAGCGUUGUCCGGAAUCAUUGGGCGUAAAGCGCGCGUAGGCGGCCCGAUAAGUCCGCUGUAGAAGUCAACGGCUCAACUGUUGAAAGCCGGUGGAUACUGUCGGGCUAGAGUACGGAAGAGGCAAGUGGAAUUCCUGGUGUAGCGGUGGAAUGCGCAGAUAUCAGGAGGAACACCGGUGGCGAAGGCGGGAUCCUGGGCCAGUACUGACGCUGAGGAGCGAAAGCGUGGGGAGCAAACAGG
rnacentral:rRNA from 1 species